AACGUAGCAGUGAACCAGCGCCAGGUGGAGUAGCACCCGUGGUGGCCCCUGAGCUCUUUCCAGCUGCCACUGUGACCGCAGGUCAGUGAUCCUUUGGAGUCUGAAUUUUACAAAGCUUUUUCAUCUUCAAUUCCUAAAAUAUAAUCUGAUAAUUAAUGGUUUAUGGAAUCCAUUAUGAAGUGCAAUUAGAUGGAAGGAAUGACUAGCAUUUAUCUUCCUUUCCCUGAUGGCAGAAGGUUGAAGUCUGCUAGGGCAGUGUUUACACACCCAGCACGGCUCCCUGCCACCUUGUGUGGUUGACCCCCUGUGGAAGGUACUGCCCAGUUUGAUCACUCACCCUCAAAAUACAGGCUGGCAGAAGACAAGCCCACCCCUUCUUUCUAAGCACAUUUCACAUCACCAGGUACCAGCAGGGGAGGGGUCGAUCUGGGUCAUGGUCGCUACUUCUGUCGCCAUCACACGUUGCUGGAAGGGCAGAAGGUGGGACCUUAACACUGCCAGUGUGUCUGCUGGCAUCCAUCCUGCUCUGUGCAGGCAGCUGGGCCAGCUCACCCCGCCUCCAGUUGUGUGCUCAUUUUAUGUGCAAAUCACUUGAGCUAGUCGGCUCAGGGAUCGUCCCAUUCUGAAGUAAAUGAAGUUUCCAGAGGCUAAUAACUGACCAGAAGAUGGUGCUCAAACCUUUAAGACUUUGCCUCCCUGUGAGGCCCUCACUGCUUCUGCCAAGGCUGUCUCCGUCUUCUUAAGGGUUUUCAGUUCUGUGAGCUGUCAGACCGGGAUUGCUGUUGAUCAGCAAGUGAUGAGAUGGCACCGAAUCUCCCCUUGGCACCAGAUCAAACCCAUUGAAAGAGUGGAGCAGCCCUGCUUCAGGGCAUGGAGGCCAAGCCCGGCAGAUAAGAGUGCGUGGGUGGCCGCAGCGUUAUCAAAACUUCUUCCAGCCAAAAAAACAAAAUAAAUUUAAAAAUUAAUUGCUGAGGACCUAUAGGGGAAAGUGAUUUUUCUUUUUAAAAAGUCUUCUGAAUAAAGAAAGCUAUAAGCUUUAAACCCAACUUCCAGAUCCUUUCAAGUACUGAGGCACCCUUCCUCAGGUUGCUGGUGGAGACCCAGAUCGUGGCAGGACACUCGUUUUCUUCAGAAUCACCAGACUCACAACUCGCUUUGCCAAGAGCAGACAGAGCAGUGGGAUAUGCUGCCGGCUGCACGCUCACCCUGUGGCACAGCCAGCAGGAGCACGAGGCCUGUGCUGGUUCUGGUCAACAUGAGCGAAAGGUCCGCCCCGAAUUUCGUCUCUGCUCCGAGUGGGCCUCGGCAAGCUGCUGCGCCAACAGCGCUUUUACAGCGCUGCUCCCUAGAGACGCCCAAGCCUGGAUUUUAUUGUAGGAAGACUAUUUCUAGCCCUACUUGGCCAUUUUAUUCUUUUCUCCCACUUCUGCCCAAGAGACCUUCUGCAUUGCUGCCAUGGAGGACAUGUCACCAGGGUCCCCUUGUCCACAUCACUUGCUCUCAUGUGGCAGUGGUGGUCUCUGCCUUGUUGCCGUGGUGCUGCCCUUGUGGCCUCAGGGCUGAACCCUGGGGGCACUGGCAGUGGUGUAGAGGAGUCUGUGGACUUCUUGGAACGCAUAUUUAUUCAGUAAGACCCCAACUCUUCUCUGCCUCCAGAGCUUAUGAAACACCUGGUGAGGAGGAAAGGGCAGACAGAUUCCAACCUGGAGUCUGAUUCCGUGGGGAUCACUUACGGAACGGCAUUUGCCCAUCCCUGAUGAGUGAGACAGACAGCAAAUAGAUGGCUCAAGAGCGAGGAUCGCUCUGGGAAGAUGGGACUGUGCAAGUGUGUGAGCAGAGCCUGAGGGGCAGCAAAGGGGCAGAGACUUGUUUAUUUUAUAAAGCCUGAGUCCAGCAAGUGCCACAGUCUACAGUGUGAAUGCCAGGUUCCCUGGUCAUUCAUGUCCUCUCUGAGGAAGCUGUCUGACUCUCCCCUCCCACCAGCCAUGGAAUGUAUUUCAGCUUCAUCCCCCAGGGAAGAGCCCUGAGAGUCACGGACUGAGGGUGAAAUAGAUCCAGUCAAACAGGGGUAAAUGGGGAGACAAGGGCCCUGUUCUCUGCUCAUGGUGUAAAUCGAGGAGAAAGAUGAGAUGGGCCCAAAGAGUUUCUCUACCCUAGGUGAUGCUGCAGUCACCAAAGGCUGAUUACUUAUUAAUAAUAUGGGGUGGGGGAUUUAACUCUCACGUGCCUGAGAUCUAAGAAUUGACUAAGGGUUGGAGGAGCUGCCAGCCUUACCUAGCAUGGUUCUAGGGGACAAGCAAUAUUUCUAUUCAGUUGGGACUAGGAAGUUGGACAGUGGUGGAGAAAAUCCUGGGAUGCUUUAAUCAGUCCUCCCAAAGGAAGACUUCAGCAGCCCCUGCCCUGCUCCACUUGGCCUAGUGUAUUGCAGGGAUACUUGGGAAGUAGGGAGAAAGUGGGAGUGAAAGAAAAAUUAGGGGUUGAGGGGAGAAUUUUGUUGCCAUGGAAAACCUUGGGGCUGGUAGGACUUGGGCCAGAAGCUCAGAAGCACAGCCAGAACUCAGAAACUUGCUACACCUAUGACUUGGCCUGUAAGGAAGGGAGAAGUUGCUGUGCUUCGGGGAUUACAUUGUUGGAAAAAAAAAAAAAAAUUAUCCCAUCAGCUAAUUUAGAUUGCUUCCAAAUCAUGGAAAUGUUGCAUCAUUUCCCUUACAAAGGCCAGUCACACCUGCUACCACCCACGGUCAGGACAGGGUGCACAUGUCAGGCCAGGUCAGCCAGCACACGAUGGCUGUUUAAAUUGGAUUACAAACCAUUGUCCGUGUUCACCUUGCACUACUCUAUGUAAAUAAAAUAUGUACUUUG
rnacentral:lncRNA from 1 species